CUGGAAGAGGACGGCUGAGGGCAGUCCAACCAAUCGGCGGCCAGAAGUCUGGGGUAUCCUUCUUCAGGGGCUGAGCCUGGAACUGCUCGCAGUGGAGGCAGUGAAGAAGGAAGAGCCGACCAAAGUCUCUGUACAGGAACAGCCUUGACUGACACGAGACCACCUCUGUUCACUCUCCACAUGUUCUGCCCUGCAAAAUGGGUGAACUCCACCUGCCCUGUCUGGGUCUGAUGGAAAGAAGGCAUGGCCAACAGAUCCACCUGCUCCAUCAAAGGGAUAUCCAUCUCCAUGGGGACCACGCAAGAAAUCUAUUUGGAGAUCUGCUCCCUCUGGUCCUCGCACCUAUUCAAAAUAGUUCAACAUGCAUUUACAUGAACCCAUAAAAACAGGAACAUUGUUAAGGUCAGAAACAAAGUGCUAAUUUUUGAGUUUUAAAAAGUAUAGCCAUAACCUCAUGAAACUCAAGCAUUGUUGGAUUGGCCCAAACUCGGAGGGCGUAGAACACAAGGGAGCGAAUCAUUUCACGGGACAGUUUAGAAGAUGCAGGGUAAGAGCGCAACCUGAGAAAUAAGAUAGUUGGACCAAGAACAAACAUUUUGUUUACACGUCAUGUUUUUAAUAUUUUUCUUCAGUCUUUACUUUAUUGGGAUACAGUAAACUAACUAUCAAGUGUGUUAAGGUAGAAAAAGCAGGAAGAAAAACACAACUGGUAAAAUAAUCAUUCUAACCUCCAGUUGAUAUUUCUUCUCGUCCAGGUAGACACGGCUCUUUUCAUCCUUUGAUUUUCCACAUCACCGUGUAAUCCUGAAAGCUGAAUGGUUUGUUCAUCAUCAUCUGGAAGUGAACAACGGGGUGUCUGCAUCAACUGAACAGUCGCUUCAUCUGUUACAGGAAGGACUUCCGUUCCUGACACGCAGACUCAAACCGACUCAAAC